rnacentral:misc_RNA from 1 species
GAUGAAGAACGUAGCGAAAUGCGAUACGUAAUGUGAAUUGCAAAUUCAGUGAAUCAUCGAGUCUUUGAACGCACAUUGCGCCCCCUGGUAUUCCGGGGGGCAUGCCUGUCCGAGCGUCAUUGCUGCCCUCAAGCACGGCUUGUGUGUUGGGCCCCGUCCUCCGAUCCCGGGGGACGGGCCCGAAAGGCAGCGGCGGCACCGCGUCCGGUCCUCGAGCGUAUGGGGCUUUGUCACCCGCUCUGUAGGCCCGGCCGGCGCUUGCCGAUCAACCCAAAUUUUUAUCCAGGUUGACCUCGGAUCAGGUAGGGAUACCCGCUGAACUUAAGCAUAUCAAUACGGAGGA